rnacentral:rRNA from 1 species
AUUGAACGCUGGCGGCAGGCCUAACACAUGCAAGUCGAACGGGUAGCGGCCGGGUGAUUAAUGUCUGGAAACCUGCCUGAUCGAGGGAGAUGACUACUAGAAACGUUAGCUAAUACCGCAUAACAUCAGAUGUGCCCAGCUGGGUUUAGCUAGUCGGUGUGGUAACGGCUCACCAAGGCGACGCUCCCUAGCUGGUCUGAGAGGAUGAGCAGCCACACUGGAACUGGGACACGGUCCAGACUCCGACGGGAGGCAGCAGUGGGGAAGAGUGCGCAAUGGGCGCAAGCCUGAUGCAGCCAUGCCGCGUGAAUGAAGAAGGCCUACGGGUUGUAAAGUACUUUCGGCUGUGAAGCGGUACCCGCCGAUGAAGCACCGGCUAACUCCGUGCCAGCAGCCGCGGUAAUUC